rnacentral:lncRNA from 1 species
AGAAUCCCCGCCCCGCGGUGGGGCGCGGGAAAUGUGGCGUACGGAAGACCCACUCCCCGGCGCCGCUCGUGUGGGGCCCAAGUCCUUCUGAUCGAGGCCCGCGACCUCAGAUCAGACGUGGCGACCCGCUGAAUUUAAGCAUAUUUGUCAGCGGAGGAAAAGAAACUAACCAGGAUUCCCUCAGUAAUGGCGAGUGAACAGGGAAGAGCCCAGCGCCGAAUCCCCGCCCCGCGGUGGGGCGCGGGAAAUGUGGCGUACGGAAAAAUACAAAAAUUAGCCAGGUGUGGUGGUGCACGUCUGUAAUCCUAGGUACUUGGGAGGCUGAGGCACAAGAAUUGCUUAAACCCAGGAGAAAGAGGUUGGAGUGAGGAGCUGAGAUCAUGCCACUGUACUCCAGCCUGGGCAACAAAGCAA